rnacentral:rRNA from 1 species
GGGGGGGGUCAAGCGUUGUUCGGAAUUACUGGGCGUAAAGGGCGCGUAGGCGGUCCCGCAAGUCCUUCGUGAAAUCCCACAGCUCAACUGUGGAAUUGCGAGGGAAACUGCAGGACUUGAGUCCGGGAGAGGAGAGUGGAAUUCCCAGUGUAGCGGUGAAAUGCGUAGAUAUUGGGAGGAACACCGGUGGCGAAGGCGGCUCUCUGGACCGGGCACUGACGCUGAGGCGCGAAAGCUAGGGGAGCAAACGGGAUUAGAUACCCCGGGUAGUCCUAGCCCUAAACGAUGAGCACUUGGUGUGGCGGGUAUCGACCCCCCGUGCCGUGCCGAAGCUAACGCAUUAAGUGCUCCGCCUGGGGGUAGUACGGUCGCAAGGCUG